AAGCCCAUCGGCGUACGAUGGCAACAGACUUCGAUCUCUUAUCCCCGAAAGUUUCCUUUCGCCACCACAUACUCGUCCCGGAGAAGAACUACGAGGAGGAGAUGGUCGGCUUCCCCCUUCUUCUUUCUUCGUCUCCUCGCCCUCGUACUCCUUUUCGGAGGCCUCGGUAGCGACGCUAUUCUUCUCACGCUGUUGCAUCGCCUCUUUCUUUAUGUUUGUUCGAGAAUUCGUUUGUUUGCGCUUCCCCUGCCUGUCUCUGAGCUUUUCCUUCACCGAUGUUGCGGCUAUAGACAUCUCGAUCUAGACGGUCGUCGUUCCAAACGCGACCAUGGAAGGUGAUCGGCGUGGUAUCCCAAAUAUCGGAACCUCACCCUGUAGAGAGAGAUAGGGAAGAGAGAUUUCUUGGCGGUGAAGGGGAUUCAUCGAUACGUCGUAUCCGUACCCCUUUCUGCUCCUCGGCUUGGAUGAGUCUUAUCUCAAUCGGAGAUCUUUUGCUGUAACUGAGUCAUCUGAUAUGCAGUUCCUUUUUUACUGAAAAAUGGCUAAAUAAUGUUCAAUUGGAUACUGAAAGAUGACCAAAUGAUAGGUGCUCUGGGGGAUCACUUUUAAACUGUGGAAUCUGUCUUGAUGGCUAAAUCUAUUGAAACCAAGUAAGCUUUGCAUUUAUGCUUAAGUUUGGAACCAUAUUUUUUAUGGAUUUACAGCUGACAUUCUUUUAAUGUCUUAUAUAAGCUGGAAAAUGAGAAAUAUUUGUCUCCGUAACGAGCUUGAAAUUGUAUCCAAUGGAUGGUUCACCUUCUAGUUGUCAUUAGCCCUAAUUACUACUUAUUGUCAUCUUGUCCUUUAGGGUAGUCCCAAUCAUUUGUAAGUGUCUCAUGCUCCAAAGAUCCAAAUACUCAAUUAAGUGGACAACUCCAUUCUAAGGCA